GCUUUGCUUUGAAGUUCUACCCAGGCCUUUCAAAUCUUUUCAUACUCAGUGCAGUCUUUUAUCAGCCGCCUGUCAGCUCAGAUCCUCUCCAACAAAAAUAUAAUUGAAAUGAUUCUGCUAUAGGUGACUGACAUUUGACUCAAAUGGCCGCCGUAGCAAUAGACUAAAUGUGAAAUGCACCGGCGGCCUUAUGCACACCACAAGCAAAGAACAACAAGGAGCCGAGACCCGAAAUAAGGGAGGCACAAAUUCUCACAUGCCACCCGACUGGAAUUAUAGCCACGCUCUUACCACCUGUUCAAUGAUAAUGUUAUAAGUCUAAUAGUCAGAAGGACUAAGGGAGGAUUCUCCUUAUACAAAUAAAUGCGAAUGCAUAAAAA